AAAUUGCUCUCUCUGGUGGCAACUAAACUGGUUUCUGAAGGAUAUCAGAAUAUUGAGUUAACAACUUUUGCAUGUCUGGAUGUAAUCCUUCAAGCAAAACAGAGGAAGAGGAUUCCAUACAGAUAGCAAAAACUGAACCUUGUUGCCGCAGUUCCUUGGUCAUGGCUUUCAAGGAGAGAGGUUCAAUCGGCUUACUCCGAAUUCCCUGUAAGUGUCUCUGCUGGCCGUCCCAUUUGAAAUCCAUCGUCAGAUCCUUCCAGUUACAAGCAACAGUUCCCAGCCGCUGCAACCAUUGUACUCCCAAAACAACAUCUAGACCCAUUAUUGGCAGAGAAAAGAAAGUAGCCAGAAAGGGUAUACCUUGAAGCGAGAAGGGAAUAUUGUUGAAUUUACUACUGCAAAGUAAUGGAG
rnacentral:lncRNA from 1 species